rnacentral:rRNA from 1 species
GAUGAACGCUGGCGGCGUGCCUAAUACAUGCAAGUCGAGCGAACGGACGAGAAGCUUGCUUCUCUGAUGUUAGCGGCGGACGGGUGAGUAACACGUGGAUAACCUACCUAUAAGACUGGGAUAACUUCGGGAAACCGGAGCUAAUACCGGAUAAUAUUUUGAACCGCAUGGUUCAAAAGUGAAAGACGGUCUUGCUGUCACUUAUAGAUGGAUCCGCGCUGCAUUAGCUAGUUGGUAAGGUAACGGCUUACCAAGGCAACGAUGCAUAGCCGACCUGAGAGGGUGAUCGGCCACCCUGGAACUGGGACACGGUCCCGACUCCUACGGGAGGCAGCAGUAGGGAAUCUUCCGCAAUGGGCGAAAGCCUGACGGAGCAACGCCGCGUGAGUGAUGAAGGUCUUCGGAUCGUAAAACUCUGUUAUUAGGGAAGAACAUAUGUGUAAGUAACUGUGCACAUCUUGACGGUACCUAAUCAGAAAGCCACGGCUAACUACGUG